GGUUAUAGGGCUGCUUAUGGGGCCGGUUAUAGGGCUGCUUAUGGGGCCGGUUAUAGGGCUGCUUAUGGGGCCGGUUAUAGGGCUGCUUAUGGGGCAGGUUAUAGGGCUGCUUAUGGGGCCGGUUAUAGGGCUGCUUAUGGGGCAGGUUAUAGGGCUGCCUAUGGGGCUGGUUGUAGGGCAGCCUGUGGGCCCCAUUGUAGAGUGGUCUAUGGGGUUGGUUGUAGGGCUGCCCGUGUUGCCGGCUGUAGGCCAGGCUGUGGGAUAGGCUAUGGGGCUGCUUAUGGGGUCAGUCCCAAGGCUCCCCCUUAUCUGCACAGGGAGGCCCCAGGCAGCUUUCCCCUCCCCCAGCCCUCCGAGGGGCCCUCUCAGCGUUCCUCACCCUCGGGGCUUCCCCUCCCCUGCCUGCCCCCGGCGGGGCUCCCCCCUUUUUACCCCAAAUCGAGGGGCGAGGAGAAGCUUGGGGCUGCAGGGCGGGGGGGCGAUCACACAGCCACCCCUCUCCUAAAUCCCCCGGGGGGGGGUCGGUGCCCCCCCAGUGCUGUAAUCCAGCGCCUUGUGCCCCGGGGCAGCAGGCUGCGGGUGAAAUGGGCUCUGUAAAGGAAAGGGCAGCUCGGAUUAUGAAACCCCGUGCGUGCCGCCCGGCAGAUUACGCUUCCUUAGCGAGGGCUCGGGGCCCGACCCGUGAAGUUUGGAUUACAAACAGCCGCUGCUGGGCUUUCUGCUGACGGCAGCGGUGGGGCUGGGCAGAGCUUGCGAGGGCUGCCGAGUCCCUGCUGCGGGUCCUGAGCCGUGUCGGGGAGCAGAGCCACCCUCUGUGGGGUGCUGGGGGCUCAGAAGGGGUCCCCUGGGUCACGGCAGUUUGGUCCUCGGGGUGCUUUGUGACCUGCCUGGGGGGUUGGGUGUGUGGUUUUGGGGUCAGACCCUGCUGGGGGUGGCAGCACCGUUUGUGGAGGGGCUUUGGGGGCUGCUCCAGGCAUGCAGAGGGAGCCGUGGUGCUGUGUCGGGGCAGGCAGCACUCCACGGAUCAUCAUUUCUGAGCCCCGUGCCCUUAGGCAUCAACUUUGGGGUCUGGAGGGGUGAGAAAACCCCAAAGCUGUUUGGGUUUGCUGGUCCUGAGAGAAUAACCCCACGGGUUUUAGGGUCAGCAGGGGCUGCUGUGCCCUGGGCUGGCUGCAAACGUUGUCUGUGAGCACGAGACGCCUCUUGGAUAACUCUCCUCAGCUUGGGUAUCUCCUUCCAGGGCUUUCCAAGAGCUGACUUGCCUGGAAUUUGCAGAACCCGACUGCAGGGCUGGCGAGCUGCUUUGGGAUCCGGGGAAGCUGCUUGGAAGAGGAGGCGGCGGCCGCCCGCAGCUGGCGGUGGUCCUGGCGCUGCAAACAGAGCGA
rnacentral:lncRNA from 1 species